CGGAGCCGCCGUUGGGAACCCCGCUGACGUGGCUAUGGUCCGAAUGCAGGCUGAUGGACGUCUCCCAAUUGACCAACGUCGCAACUACAAGAGUGUGUUUGAUGCUCUAACUCAAAUGUCAAAGCAAGAAGGAAUUGCUAGCCUCUGGCGUGGCUCAAGUCUUACAGUGAACCGUGCAAUGAUCGUCACUGCAUCACAGCUCGCAACCUAUGAUCAGAUCAAGGAGAUGAUAUUGGAGAAGGGUGUGAUGAGUGAUGGAAUAGGGACCCAUGUGACGGCGAGCUUCGCAGCUGGGUUUGUGGCAUCGGUGGCUUCAAACCCUAUAGAUGUGAUAAAGACUAGGGUUAUGAACAUGAAGGUGGAGACAGGGGGGGAGCCGCCAUACAAGGGUGCAUUAGACUGUGCAAUGAAGACAGUGAAGGCGGAGGGUCCAAUGGCUUUGUAUAAGGGAUUUAUCCCUACAAUCUCAAGGCAAGGACCUUUCACUGUGGUGCUGUUUGUCACGCUAGAGCAGGUCAGGAAGCUGCUCAAAGAUUUCUAAUUCAAGUGAUGGUGAUCGAUGAGGGAAAUCAAAAUGCCAUAUAUAGAUAGAAAUAUGUGAAUUUUUCAGCUUCACUAUCGGGAGAAUUAUUCUUUAAUUCUUUUUGUUAGAAUUUGGAAAGGCCACUAUUAUUCCAUUACUGUAAAGAAGAAUUGAAUUUUUGAUAUAAAUUAAUUAUUACUUGAUCUCACAUUUCCAUUUGUCUAUCUUCAUAUAUAAUUGCAGAAUUCACCGCAAAUGUAAAAAAAUUCAAUUAAUCAAGGUGUUGUUCUCCUAAUGGCAUGGCUCACAGUCACAAAAUUAAAAAGAGAUUAAACCCAUCAAAAUACAUAAUCACAUCAAUAUAGAAUGCUUGUAUGAAUAUUGCUGGAGUUUUGACCUUCUUGAGUUUUGACAUCCUGCAGCUGCAUUAUAAGAGUAACAAUCACUUUUAUUUUUUUUGACAAUAACCUUACCAUAAAUUACAAGUAAAUAUUUUAUACUUCGUCCUUUUCUUUGAUACUGGUUUUUCUACGGCCACCCUUGUCUUUUCAAGAAGGGUUGACUUCUGUCACCUUGUUAUAUGUUUUUAAAUUUUUUUUAUUAUUAUUGUUUUACAUGUUGUGCUUCUUCAGUUUUUUCAUGCCUUAUUGUUGACAGAUUUAAGAGAGGAUUAACUUUUUGGGAAUGGUGAAACUCUUGGAGUCGUAUUCCGAACAUGAAUAAUGCAAUCAGUAACCCUCAAGGCCUUGGGUGCCAUAGAACUCUGGCUACUGCCCUUAGUUGGUUUGAAGCUUCGAUGCUUCUGGCCUUCAAUCAGUCUGUGCUUUAGUUUUAUUGGUUCUGGCUGUUGCCCUCAGUUGAUUUGAAGCUUCGACUUUGGUCUGGCCUUCAAUCAAUCUUUGCUUCAGUUUUAUUAGUUUUCUUGAUAAGACGCUCCAUGGCUCUUUCUACAAGUUGCAUUUGUUGUCGGGUCUCUCAACUUUUUAAGUUUUAAGGAUUUGAUGACCUUUUAGGUUUUAAGAAACCUUAUUUUAUUUUCUAUUAAAAACUACGGUUUUAAAUGAGUUGGAUUAAAAUUUUAAUUUUAAUUUUUUUCUUUAUAUUAUUAUAAAUGAUUAAAACGUAAAUACGAAUAUAAUUCAAUCAUUUGUAGUUAGAGAUUAGAAAAAAAUCUCCUCAGAUUCAAUAUGAAAACAUUUAGAGUACAUGUAUUACGCUCAAUUCAUAGAGAUUUAGAAAGCUGCUCUUAGAAUUUCAAGCUUUUACUUGAGCAGUAUAAAUUGAUAGUUUUUUAGGGACCAUUUUAAAAUUUCUAUCCAUAAAUUUUCUUUAAAAACAAAGUGACGUGCAAAGCGCACUAAUAUAUUUUAAAAUUUAAGCAAUGAUAUCUUUACGGUCAUAGUAAAAUUAUUAUUUUAAUAUUAUUAAGAUAACAGUUUGAUAAUAAUUUAAAAAUAUUUAAAAAAUUUAUUUUUUUAUUAUAUUUAAUAAUAAAUUUUAAUAAAAAAUUAUUUUAUAUUUAAUAAAAUCAUAAUUUUUACUAUAUUUUAUAUUUACAGUAAAAAAAUAUGUUUAAAGCUGAUUUAUAUUUAAUAGUGAUAUAUUUCAAAUUGUUGUUAUUAAUUUAUAAUUAUAUUUAAAAUAUACAAUAUUACUAUUUUAAAUUUAUUUUUAUAGUAGUGGUUUUUUUGCAUACUCCACCUUCCUCUACUAUUUAUAAAAAUUUAUAAAAAAUAAUAUAUAUUUAAAAAAAUAGAGUAAAAAAUUAAUGAAUCACUGUACAUGAUACAUUUAUAGAAAAUAUUUCUCUAAAACUGUUUCAUGUAGACUGAAUAUAAUAAUUACAGUGGAAUUUUUCCGAUAUUAUAAAGUUUUGAUUUCAAAAUCUGUCACAUCAAGUCAACGGUUUAAUUAUUAGUAACGUUGAUAAAAAAAAAAGUAUUAAUAACUGAAUUUUUUUAGAAGUUAUUAAUAACUGAAAAAUACUUAAUCUCAUAAUAUAACAUAUGAUUAAUCACAACUGCCCAUACGAUCAUCAAGGUAAAGGAGGGCAGACGAAAAAUAAAAAAUUAAAAAAGAAGAAUGGGUCAGUCAGUGGAACCCACUAACAUGUGAGUGAGCCAUAUGGUUGUUACACAGUUGGCCAGUUCAACAGUUCAAACUAGGAAGACCAAGAAUGGUCACAGACAACAGCACCAAUAGCGCAGAUAUAUAGAGUCAAAUGCAAUACCGUGUAUAAUUGAUCAGUCGAAUAGCACAAAGAAUUUUCUUCGAAUUUUCUCCAUAUAGAUAACGUGUGGACCAUCCUACACUCCCUCUCGGCCUCUCUAUAUAAACGCCUAAUUCUCUGCUCACUCUUCAUCUUCAUCACCAUUUCUAUUGUCUGCCUCUUCACUUCACUCAGCUUCUCUCUCGCUGAUCAGUUUUGAUUUCUUCAGUUUUCGAUCCAUAAUUAAUAAUGGGUUUGAAGGGUUUUGUUGAAGGUGGUAUUGCCUCCAUCGUCGCUGGUGCCUCCACCCAUCCUCUUGAUCUCAUCAAGGUUCGCAUGCAACUUCAAGGUGAAUCCCACCUCCCCAAUCCAGCCUCCCUUCAAGCCCUCCGUCCUGCCAUCGCCUUCAACACGGUUGCUGCUGGUGCCGGCAAUAUUUCACUACCUGUAGAAAUUGCUCCUCCACCUGCUCGUGUUGGACCCAUUUCUAUCGGUGUUCGUAUCAUUCAAUCUGAAGGUGCUGCAGCCCUUUUCUCUGGUGUAUCUGCCACUAUACUUCGCCAGACCUUGUACUCAACCACCCGUAUGGGUCUUUACGAUGUUCUUAAACACAAGUGGACAGAUCAAGACACCGGAACCAUGCCUCUUCCACGCAAGAUUCUUGCCGGCCUUAUCUCCGGCGGUAUCGGAGCCGACGUUGGGAACCCCGCUGACGUGGCUAUGGUCCGAAUGCAGGCUGAUGGACGUCUCCCAAUUGACCAACGUCGCAACUACAAGAGUGUGUUUGAUGCUCUGACUCAAAUGUCAAAGCAAGAAGGAAUUGCUAGCCUCUGGCGUGGCUCAAGUCUAACAGUGAACCGUGCGAUGAUCGUCACUGCAUCACAGCUCGCAUCCUAUGAUCAGAUCAAGGAGAUGAUAUUGGAGAAGGGUGUGAUGAGUGAUGGAAUAGGGACCCAUGUGACGGCGAGCUUCGCAGCUGGGUUUGUGGCAUCGGUGGCUUCAAACCCUAUAGAUGUGAUAAAGACUAGGGUUAUGAACAUGAAGGUGGAGACAGGGGCGGAGCCGCCAUACAAGGGUGCAUUAGACUGUGCAAUGAAGACAGUGAGGGCGGAGGGUCCAAUGGCUUUGUAUAAGGGAUUUAUCCCUACAAUCUCAAGGCAAGGACCUUUCACUGUGGUGCUGUUUGUCACGCUAGAGCAGGUCAGGAAACUGCUCAAAGAUUUCUAACUCAUGUGAUGAUGAUCGAUGAGGAAAAUCAAACGCCAUUACAUAUAGCUAGAAAGCUGUGAAUUUUUCAGCUUCAUUGCUGAGAAUUAUUCUUUAAUUUUUUUAAUGGGACUCUUUGUAUCUGUCAAAUUGCAGUUAAAUUGGCAAUUCCACAGUUUUAGGAAGAUAGAUUCCUGCAUUUAACAUUUUAUUUAUAAAAAAAAAAUUAAAAAUAAUUUUUUUAAAGUAUAUAAAAAAUAAUUAAUAAUUAUAAAAAAAUUAUAUAAAAUGACAGCUAGACAUUUUUUAAAAUAAUUAAUAAUUAAAAUUAUUUUAUUUUUUUAAAAUUAAAUGUAUAUAAAAACAAAAAAUAUAUAUAUUUUAAAGAAAAAUUUUUUAAUAUUUAAAAUAUUCAUUGACUAAUUUUCUAAAUGCCUCAAAUAUUAAAAAAAUAUGAAAAAUAUUUUUAGUUAAAAUAUAAAAAAUAUUUAACUAAAAAUAUUUUGUAUAAAAAAGUAGAGUCUAAAAUAUAUAAUUUUUUUAUAUUUUUUAACAUAUCUACCUUUUAAAAUUUUCAUAAAUAUGAUAUUUUAAAAUCUCAACGUGGUUUUACUAUCAUUAAAAUUUUAAAUUUUUUUAACUCACAAUUUAAUAAAAUAAUUAAUAAAAAUUUCAAAAAUAUAUAAUUUCAUUAAAAUAAUUUUAUGUAAUUUUUUUAAAUAAUUAUUUGUUUAAACAUUUUUUAUUUAAAAAUAAAAAAAAUUUUAAAAUAAUAAAUUAUUAUUUUUAACAAUAAUUUUAAUUAGUAAUUAUUUUUUUUAUAUACUUUAAAAAAAUUAUUUUUAAUUUUUUUUUAAAAAUAUUUUUUUAUAAAAUUGACAUAUUCAAUAAUUAAAGCGUUAAACAUACCGAUUUCCACCGCUAGAUUAUCAAACUGUGCAGUUCCACAGCAUGAGUGAUGAAUAAAAAUUCAAAAUGCCUUGGAAGAUCAAACGUGAAUUUCAAUUUCUUUUUUUUUUCUUGUGCGUGUUUUGAAAAAAAAAUAGCUCUACCAAAGCAGUAAACUCAGCAAGCACAAAGGUACACAGGCCAAGUCGAAUCAUGAAUCCAGCUGCCCAACGACCGCGGCUAUUCCGGAGUAGCCCACCUCCUCCUCCACGACCUGGAUUCCCCUGCAAGCUGCGACGCUCCAUCUGUGUUGAGUUUUAACCACCUAUCUCGCGGUGGAACCCAUGAAACAGCCACCAAAGUUCGUUGUUUUUGCACCUUAUUCAUUCCUUUCCAGACCUUAUAAUUCAUGCAGUAUUCCCUACGUAAAAUGGCUAUCUUUGAAGUUAACGUUAAUAUUUCUCCCUCAAACACAUAAUUAUUUCUCCACUGCCACAAAAACCAUAACGUAAUACAAAGACACUGUACAGCCUGAUACUCACUCCUUUCUCUACAUAUCAGUUCUUCACAAUGUAACCAGUCCUGAAUUCCCAUGUUAUAAAAUUUGGUUAAAGAGUUGGCCUCCCAUACAUUUCCUAGACUUGUCGAGCAGCCCAACAAUAAAGAUAUGUAGGUAACUUUCAUAUAUUUUUUACUUAUAAUUUAAAUUAAUUUUAUAUUUUUAGUAAAUUUAGUAAAUAAAAAUAAAUAUUUAAUAUUUAAUUAUUUUAUUCAUAAAAAUUAAAAAAUUUAAUUUCAUUGACUCAUUGAAGAUGUGAUAUAGUGAUUCUAUCAUAUGAAAGGUAAAUACGUAGAAAAAUUAUAAAUUUUUGUUUAUAAAUAUAUCAUAUUUUUUGUGCUUAAUUUUAAUUUAUUAUAAUUUUAAAAAGUAAAAAGAUAAAUAUUGAAUUUAAAUGUUUAUUUUAUUUAUUAUCAGCAAAUGAGACUUUCUGUAUAUAUUAAUAUUUACUGGGACGGAAAUAUUAUAAGUACGUUUUCAUGGAUAUGAUUAUGGUGGAAGUUUUUCAAAUGUUGUUCUAAUAAGUAAAAGGAUAAGUUUUAAUCAAACAGUAAAAAAAAUUGCAUAUACUAAUAUUUACUGGAACGAAAAUAUUAUAAGUAAUUCUGAUGGAUAUGAUUAUGAUGGAGGUUUUUCAAAGGUUGUUCCAAUAAGUAAAAGGAUAAAUUUUAAUUAAGCAAUCGAAAAAAUUGCAUAUACUAAUAUUUAUUGGGACGAAAAUAUUAUAAGUAGUUUUCAUGGAUAUGAUUAUGAUGGAGGGUUUUCAAAGGUUUUCCAAUAAGUGAAAGGAUAAGUUUUAAUCAAGCAGUCGAAAAAAUUGCUUGUGCAGUUGAAUUAGUCGAGAAUAAUGAAUAUAUAGAGAUAAUUAAUUUUAAAAAACCUAUAAUUUUGGAUGGAUCAUUAAAAUUUAAGUAUAUGGACACUACAAGAAUUUUAAAAAUUACCAACAGAAAUUUCCAUUGGUAAACAUUGAUAUUCCGUUAGUGAAAAAUUUCACUAACGGAUCUGUGACGGAUUCAUUCCGUUGGGAAAAUUCUCGUUGGUAAAUUAUUCACUAACGGAAUUUGUAUCCGUUAGUGACACUAACGAAUCACCAACGGAAAUGUCCGUUGGUGACACUAACGGAAUGCAAUUCCGUUGGUAAUACUAACGGAUUUUGCAUUAGUAAUCCGUUAGUGAAUAAAAAAUGGCGUUGUUUUCCUUUGCAAUGGACAUGGAUCUGUUAGUGACACCAACGGAAAUUCUAUUGGUAAUCCGUUGGUAAAUCAUAAAAUUGCAAAAUCAUCCAUAUAUUUUCAUACAUUAUGUACUUGUACCCUGUACAUUCAUAUACAUCCAUCAUCAUCCAUCAUCAUCCUGGACAUUAAUAAUACUAUAAACGUAAAAAAUCAAAUUACUCAUUAAAAUAUAUUUAAAACUUAAAAAAUUUGUACUACAAUUAUAAUUUGAAAUAAAAAUUAUCAACUGGUCAUAACAAAAGAUACAUACUAAACUAAACUAGCAAACUCAUCAUCUGUAUCAUCAUCAUCACUAUCUGUAUGAUGAUCACCAAUGACAGGGGCAUCAUCAUGCCGCUGCUGUGGAGACGGAGCUGGAGGUGCCCUAGGAGCAGAUGUCUGAGUGGAUGUCCCAAUACUCUGUUGUGCCAUCAUCCUAUGCAUAAACGUCUGCAACUCGUCCAACACUGUGCUAAUUCAACCAUUCUCUGUCUCUAGCCGAUCAAUUUUAUUCUGCAUCUUGUUCAUUGCUUCAAUUGUAGGAGGAUCCACUGGGGGUGCAGACGUGUAUGAAGCGGAACAAUGAGAUGGCUCAUGAAAAUAUGCUAAAGCCUAGGACCCUAAUCUAUAAACUCGACUCUUUUUCUGCCCGCCAACCGCUUCGUAGUACAGUUGGACCUCAUUUAUGGUCGUCGGCUCAUUGCUUCUCUCCUGUUGCUGUGUUGCUACCUCUUUCAGUUGUACGUAUUUAUCCUGCAUUAUAAAUUUCAAGUAACGUAUUAGUAAAACGAUUUAAGUACAUCAAAAUUGUUAAUAACUACAUUUAAUAUUAACUUACAUAAAUAGCUUUUGACCUAGCAUCAACAAACUCUUCUGUCCCUUUUCUCUUAUGUGUGACCUCGAAAACCUCAUGAGGAUGUGGUUCUCUGCCUAGUCUUUCUCUCUGUUACCAAUUAUAAGAAGUAUAGCAAUUAUCAUCGAAAAAAAAUAUUUAUAAGAAGAUAAAUAUAAAAUAAAAAUAUUUACUAAUACCAUCCUCUGCUAAUGGGUAUACUGUGAAACUGAUCCGCAUGCAUGCCUGGAAAUGCCAGAUCCUGACCCUCCAGCCUCAAUGCGCCUAUUGGUAGAAAACUUGUCACACUUCUCUUUGUAUUCAGAAGUGUUCCAAGUUUUCUGCCACUUCCUCAAAAUAGAAUCUGGUGUAGCCAGAUUCUUCGCCUUCCCUUUCCUGAUUUCCCACAUUAAGCCCCUAUAUCUCUCAGCUGCCUUUUUCUGCCAUGCAAUUUUGACCAAGCUUUCAAUUGCUUGGUCCCAUAUGAAGCAUUUCUGCAAAAAGAUUAAAGUAUAUGAUUAGUUAGUAAUUACACAUUUCAUAUUAUAAAUCAAAAUGCUAAAAGAAUUACGCUUCACCUUGAAUUCCUGCCAAUAAAACUCCUUAGUGUCAUUUGGCACUGUCUUCCAACAGUGUCCUUCCGCGAUCAAUCUUUAUUUUAUUAUCAGAGUAAUCCUGCGACUGCACAUCUCCGACGGAUGUAAACUACAUGAACAACGGUGAGUUAGUAUAGGGUAACAUUGAAAUUAAUCAUAAUUAAAAAAUAAUUAACUAUUACUUGUUAUUAAUGAGUGAAAUGGUCUGUCGGAAUGAAUGUGUGCCGCCUACAGCAGUGGUCGAUCCUGCAGAUGCUGGAGCAGAUGAUAGAGUAGAUGCUGAUGCAGAUCCUGACCAUCUAGCUGAUGCAGUAGCAGAAGGAGAUGCAGGUUGAGGUGAAUGUGAAUGUGAUAUCGCAGGUCGUGGAGCUGGAGUGGGAUGGUGAGGAGCUAGAGUGUGACGGUGAGGAGGUGGAAGGGGACGGGGAGGCAAUGCAUCGGUACAUGGUGGAACUGGUGGACCUAAUAGAUCCCUAUGACAUGGUUGUACACUGGAUGCAAGUGGUACCCAUAUUUGAAGCUCCGUAUCCCCAAGUCCCGUUGAUGCCGUGGUAACUACGGCUAAUGCUCUUGUCCGCCAUCUGCAGUCGCCUCCUCUUGACUUGUACUAGCAGGAAGUCGAACCGGUCCUCUGGGCUUCUUAACCCUUCCACAUCCCCUCAUCUGUGAACAAAUAAAAAAUAGUCAAUGCAAAAAAUAAUAUAAAGUUCAUAAACAUUAAAUUAAAAACGUACAAACAUAGUAAGUUACUCACUGAGAAAUAAUGAAAAUAUACAACUCCAAACUGAUUUAUAAUAUAAAUUAAUUUAGUCCGAUUCAUACGAAUCGAACUCAUUAUCACCAUCUGCAUCUACAUCAGAAUUAGGGUCACUAAGAAACUCAUCUUCAUCUGUCGAAACAUCAUCAUGAAUCUCAGUCAUUCCUCCACUAGGAUCAUUCAGGUAGUGUUGUUGAGUAAUAUCAUCCAGAUUUACUUCAGCGUAAUCAAUCUCAUCUUCUUGAAAAGGUUUAUAUGUCUUUGAAGACGUUUCAGAUACUUCAACAACGGGUCUACCUUUAACUUUCAUCACAGCCCACCAAUCAUUUUUGUCACGACGCUUGCUCGGGUAUGAAGCAUAAACGACCUGUGUUGCCUGAGAGGCUAAUACAAAUGGCUCGUACUUACUGUAUCUACGCUUAUUGUUAACAUCGACUAUUCUAUAAUGUCUAUGCACCUUGGUGCCCGUAUUUAGUAUUGGAUCAAACCAAUCAUAUUUGAAAAGUACAGUCCGCUUAAUUGAUAACACUGGAUACUCCAACCGUAACACCUCAACCAACUGUCCAUAGUAGUCACUUUCUUUAAAACUGUAAUUACUCCCUUUUAUACAUACACCAAAAUUCAUUGACUUACUACUUAAAUUUCCAUUGAUUGUGUUGAAUUUAUAUCCAUUAACACAAUACCCAUCAAAAGUUGUGACACUUCUGAGUGGUCCCUUUGAAAGAUCUUGUAUAAGCUGAUUUUUUACAUUGUUCUGCAAUUCAUGGGCAUACUUGUAAAACCAUUGGCCAAACUCUCUCUCCAGUUUUUCAUCAACAGUUGCAUCUGUGAUAUUUGGUUGUGCCGAUUUUACUUGCUCUACAUAAAUGCUAUACAUACAAAUUAACAAGUAAUGUUUAACAAUAAUGUACAAUAUAAGAGAUAUUACACUAUUAAUAUAACUAACAAUACUUACUCAAUAUAUGUUUUCACCUCUGGACAAUUUAAAAGAAUAUAUGUUUGAGCAGAUUGGCUUUCAUUUUCAGUCAUAUAUCUCGAUUUUCCCUUUCAGAUUGUGCUACCUGUGCAUUUGAAUAUGCUUAAUUUGCUCGGUACAUCAUCAUCGGAAACAAAUUCAUGCAAGUUGCGUGGAACCUUCGAUGUCUGGUCAUUACAUGUGCUUCAAAAUAAUGAGCAGAAAAUGCACCUGCUUCUUCUACCAAGUAAGCAUUGCAUAUUGAACCUUCGACCCUUGCUUUAUUUUUGACAUUGUUCUUUAACUUUCUCAUGUAUCUAGUGUGUGAAAACAGAAAUUAGAAAUGUAUACUAAGUAAAUCAUAAUGCUGAGCAAUAUACGUAAAGAAUUAGUAAGUAUACCUCUCAAAUGGUAUAUCCACUGAUAUUGUACUGGUCCUGCAAUUAAUGCUUCAUAUGCAAGGUGUACUGGUAAAUGUUCCAUUGAAUCAAACAGACUUGGAGGAAAUACUCGUUCAAGCUUACAAAGGAUCACAGGAAUUUGUUCAUUUAACCGUUGCAUGUCCCAAUUAAUAAGUGUAGUUUAAGUAAGUUCUCUGAAGAAAUUGCUAAGCUCUGUUAUUGGUUGCCAAACAUUAUUCGAUAACAAUUCUCUGAAAGCUAUAGGAAGAAUUCGUUGUAUGAAAACAUGACAGUCGUGGCUUUUCAUACUAAAAAGUCUAAGCUUCCGACUAUCAACACACCUCCCUAGAUUGAAAACAUAUCCAUUAGGGAAUUUCAGUGUUUUAAGCCAAUCACACAGUAUCAUCUUUGAUUGCUUGUCCAAACAAUAACUUGCUUUUGGAUAUUUUCCGCUAAUUGGAUCUUUCUUCAAUUCUGGUCUCCUGCAUAUUUCAUUUAAAUCUUCCCUUGAUUUUAUAUUGUCUUUCGUCUUCCUCUCCACAUUCAUCACUGUAUUAAAAAUAUUUUCAAAUACAUUCUUUUCAAUAUGCAUUACAUCAAGAUUGUGGCGAAUCAUAUUUGAUUACCAAUAUGGCAAAUCCCAUAAUAUGCUCCGCUUACGCCAACCAGUUGUCUUUGAAAGCCGACCAUUUAUUUCAUGACUGUCAAUGUCUAUUAUCCGCAUCAACCCAAUUUGCUCAAUUUCUUUUAGCAAGUAUUCCCCAGUUCUAAUUGGCGGCGAUGACUUGGAGACUGUUUGGUUUUUAAUAAAAGAUAUCUUGUUUCGACGGAAAGCAUGGUCGUCAGGCAAAAACUUUCGAUGACUGUCAAACCAUGUUUGUUUACCCCCCCUUUUUAAUGUAAAUGCAUCUGUGUUUUCCAUACAGUAGGGACAUGCAGUGCGUCCUGCUGUGCUCCACCCUGAGAGCAUUGAAUAAGCAGGGAAGUCACUAAUAGUCCAAAGUAAAGCAACAUGCAUAGUAAAAUUGUUCUGCUGGAAAGCAUCAUAAGUAUUCACACUAAUUUUUCAAAGUUCUUUCAAUUCCUUCACUAAUGGUUGCAUGUACACAUCAAGCUUCUCUUUUGGAUUCUUGGGACCAGGUAUGAUAAUUGUCAGGAAUAUGUACUCAUCUUUCAUACACAUACCUGGUGGCAAAUUGUAUGGAGUUAAUAUUACUGGCCAUGAAGAAUACUGUUGCCCAAAUUGACCGAAUGGUUGAAAUCUAUCAGUGCAAAGGCCGAGUCUGACAUUUCGGGCCUCCAUUGCAAAGGUUGGAUGAGUUUGAUUGAAAUGCUUCCAAGCAAGAGCAUUUGAACAAUGAUGCAUCACCCCAUCAUCAUUUGCAUGGUCAUUGUGCCAAGUCAUAUACUUAGCUGUAACACACGAUGUAUAAAGUCUUUGCAAACGUGGUGUAAUGGGAAAGUAAUACAUUUUUUUGUAUGGUAUUAGACUCUUCCCUUUCCCCUUGGUGUGCUUGAGGUGUUUGAACCUUUCAUGGUCACAAAAUUUGCAUCUAGUAAGUUCUUUAUUAUUUUCCUAAUAAAUCAUACAAUCAUUAAAACAACAGUGUAUCUUUUGUACAGGAAGCCCCAAUCCUUGGACUAGUCUCUUUGUUGAGUAAAAGCUGCCCGUCAUGACAUUGUCACUCGGUAACAUCUCCUUCAUAAGUUCACAAAUCUGAUCAAAACACCAUUCUGAGAAAUGAUGUUCUGCCUUCAGAUUUAGUAAACGUGAAACGGCCGAUAACUGAGAGUGAGUUUCACAUUCAGGCCAUAGUUCUUACUUAGAUGCAUUUAACAUUUCAUACAGUUUCUGUGCAGCGGAGUUUGGCAUCUCAUAUGUAUCAUUAUGUAUUAUAUGACAACUUAUUGCAUCCAUGACCAUGUCCUCAAACCGAUUGAAAUUUAGGUGAUUAACACUAUCAGAACCAUAAGACAUGUCUAAUAGUGCAUCACCAGAUCCGUCAUGCACUUCAGUUUCACCGUGCAAAUACCAAGCAAGGUAAUUUUGCACAAAACCAUGCUUCAUUAAAUGAUAUUUAACUGUAUUUUCAUCUUGAAAGCUACAGUUCUGACACUUAAAUCGAUUGCAAGGACAGCGAAUCUGAUCGUCAUUUAAAUAAUAUGGGCAGUUCUUAGCCUUCUCUAUAAAUUCAUUGAUCCCCUCUAAAUAUCUGGGAUUAAGUAAACCAUCUCUGAGACGAGCAUACAUCCAACUUCUUUCAGCAGUCAUAUUAACUACAAUAACGAUGCUGAUAUGAAAACAUAAAACUUAUAAAUCCUAUCUUCGAACAGAGCCUGAAAACCAAUAAUUAAAUUAUGCAUUAUAUCUAAAAUAUGCAGUAAUUAUAUCAAUUUUACUUAAGAGAAUAAUUUAUGCAAAAAAAUAGAAUAAUAAUACAAAAACCUGAAAUACAUGAUAAUUUAAUUACUAAUAUCUUCAUAAUCACGUGUUUAAUUAAUUAUUAGGUCCGCCAAUUUAUUAGAUGCGCCAAAUUAUUUUUGAGAAGUGCACCAAAAUGCACCAGCAGGUGCACUGCAAAAUGCACAUGCUGGUGCACUUGGCGAGUGCAACAGCAGGUGCAAAGGAUAAAUUCAAAAAAAUAUAAAACCUGAAUCAGGUAAAAAAUUUCACAAAAAUCAAGCGGGUGCAGAGGAUAAUUUCACAAAAAAUCAAAAAUUUCAAAAAUAUAAAACAUUUCACAACAAUUUCACAAGAAUGGAGUACAUGCAAGAAAAUAGGGUACCUGUGGACAGUGUCCGUCGAUAAUGGCAAGACCGGAGAGAGAGAGGGCCUCACUCGUGGACCGUGAUGCCGAGAAAGGGCGCACCUGUCGACGGUGGAUGGCGGCAGACCGUGGUUAGCGGCAGCGGUGAAAGACCCAGAGGUUGGACGCAAAUUCGGAUUUCAGAGAUAUUUUGAUUUCCUAAUCACACGAUUUAGGGAUCUCAUUUAGUAUACUGUGUAUUUUGGGUUAAAAUUCACUAACGGAUGAUUAGUCCGUUAGUGAAAAAAACAUUAGAUUAAAAAAUAAUAAAAUCACUUACAGAUUACUAACAGAAAUAAUGUCCGUUAGUAUUUCACUAACGGACUUAUGAUGGAUGGGUACGAGCGUAUUCUUCAAUCCGUUAGUGAAGUCCGUUAGUGAUCAAUUGAAAUCUUGUAGUGGGAGAUAUGGGGUGAAGAUGACGUAUCUCAUAUGUUUAAUUACACAUGUCAAGUUAGUGAUAUGACUGAUAUAAAAAAAUAUGUUAAGAUACUUCGUCGUGUUAAUACGAUAAAUGAGGAUGUUGAUAUUGAUCUCUCUGGAACUGCUCUUGAAUCAAAUAUUGAAUAAUGUGAAGAGCAGAAUUCACUGAAUGAUUAUAAUUUAUCUGAUACUCUUGAAGGGCGAUCGAAUAAUUUAUCUGAUAGAGCAGAGGAUGAUGAUUCAUAGAUAUCUACUGAGGAUGAUGAUGAUGAUGGCGAGGAUAAUGAUUCAUAGAUGUCUACUGAGGAUGAUGAUGAUGGCAAGGAGGAUAGUUUGAGUAGAUAUCAAUACUACAAUACUCAAUUUCUAAUCCUAUUGUGCCUAUUGUUCAUCCUCCCCAUACUCAGAAAUAUAUUUCGAUUUACUACAGUGGAUUCCUAUGAUAAACUAGAAUGUUGUUUCUUUUGGGAUCCAUUUAAAGAGUUUUCAAUUGGGAUGCUAUUUUCUUCAAGAUAUGCAAUGGCUCCGGCUGCAAAAAAAUAUCACCUUAGACGUCAUCAUCAAUUUUGCUACCAUGAAACAAGAGAGAGUACAUAUUCUAUAAAGUAUAAAGACAAAUACAAUGGUUGUGCAUUGAGGCUUCGAGCAUCCAAAAAACAAGAAGAGGAUAUAUAAAAAAUUAUGAGAUAUAAUGGACCACACACAUAUACAAAUCCUCAAUUAUUGAAAAACAAUAGCUAAUUGGAUGAAAAUUUCAUCUAUUCAUUCAUCUUUGCAUUGAUUGAAUAACAGCCUAAUAUAAAAAUUGCAGCCCUACAAGCAGAAGUGUGAGAUAAAUUUGGGUACGAGUUGUCUCAUAAAAAAACAUGGAAAGCAAAGUAUAAGGCAAUUGCAAAGCUUUAUGGGAGUUGAGAUGAAUCACAUAGUUAGUUGCGUAAAUUCAUAACAGCUGUUCAUUAUUUCAAUUGUGAAACAAUAUACAUUAUUAGGAACAACCCACAUUGGAUAGAUGAACAAUUAAAUUUGAUGUGUUGUAUAUUUGACCAAAUGUUUUGGACUUUUAAGCAAUCGAUUAAGGGAUUUAAAUAUUGUCAACCUGCAAUUUCAAUCGAUGAGACAUUACUUUAUGGAAAAUACACCUGGCGUAUAUUGUGUGUAACUGCACUCGAUGGAAAUAAUCAACUUUUUUUUAAAACUUUUGUCAUUGUUAAUAAGAAAGAUGAUGACAAUUAGUCAUGGGUUAUGGACUGCAUAAGGUAUUUGUGACCAAUAGAGAAGACUUAUGUGUAAUUUCAGACCAUCAUGCUGGAAUUAUUAAGACGAUACAGAAAGAUUGGUGGCAACCUCCAGCCGGUCAUCAUCCUUACCAUAUAAGACAUGUAUUGAGCAAUUACAAUAAAACAUUCAAAAAUGCUGCAAUAAAGAAAUCAUUGUGUAGGGCAGAUAGAUGUCAUGUCUUUAAAUACAAUUUUUUUUAUCUAUUUAAUGUCACAUUUUGCUGAUAAUAAUUUUACUUUAAUGAACUUAUAAUUUAUAUCAGCAAAUCAAAAUCAGAAGAGAAAGUUUUAUGAAGCCAUGAACAAUAUUCAGGAGGUGCACCCUGAAUCAUAUGAUUGGACAGUUAAAAUAAAUUUAGCGAAAUGGACGAGAUCACACGAUGGUGGACAAAAAUAUAACAUGAUGACAAUAAACAUUUCUAAAUCCCUAAAUGGCAUGAUGAAAGGAUUUUGAGUGUUGUCUAUAACGACAAUAGUUGAAAAAAUAUUCUUUCAAUAUGUCCAUUAUUUUGAUACAUGACGAACAAUAUUUUUUGAUCAGCAAAGCAAGGAUUUAUUUUCACUCAGACUUGCAGUGAAACUCUUCGUGUUAAUGCAAUUAAAACGAAUGGACAUAGAGUGAGAAGGUUUAAAAGUCAAACAAUGGUUUGUAAAAUAAUUAUUAUUCGGGGUAGGCAAAAACAAGUGGUUAAACUUAUGGAUUAAAUAUGCACAUGUGACAAAUUUCAAGAGACGAGAUACCAUGUUCACAUGCUAUUGCUGCAUGUAUGUCCCAUUCAAUUGACUACAAGCAGUUUGUCUCUGAUUAUUAUAAAUUGGAGUAUAUCAUCCAAUGUUAUGCAUACACAUUCUAUCUUUUUAGACAUCCUAACUAUUGGCCUGCAACAUAUGAACUUCUUCUUGUGCCUGACAUUUCUAGAACAAGGAAGAAGAAACGACCAAAAUCUUCUAGGAUUCAUAAUGAGAUGGAUUGAAAGUCGAGCAAAAUAAAAGAAACGUCUAGAGUCCAUUGUUUAAUAUGUGACAGGGUGGGACAUAAUAAAAAAAUCUGUGUAGGUUGAAAAAUAAAUAGAUAAAUGUUAAUAUUUAUACUUACAGUCACUUAUAUUUUUUAUAAUUAUUAUAAACGUAAUGUAUUUUUUAGUGUUCAUUUAUUUUUAUUGGUAUCUUAUAUUUAUGUUUAAUGGUCGAUCGCUCAUGAUUACAUUUACAGAUUAAUAUGGUCGAUCGCGUUGUUAAAAAGAACAAAUCACACAAGUCAUCCAUAUCAAGAAUAUUUAAGAAUAAUUCAAUUAUAAUAGUCAAAAAGUAUAUAGAUCCUAAUGGCAUAACAUGGUAUGAAAAAAAUAAAUACGUCAGAUUACUCAUGUCUUAAUCGUAGUAAUGCACCACAUAUUUUCAUUGGUUUUCCUUUAAAUUCGUUACAAGAUUUUGGAUAAGUAAUUAUAUCGAGCGUUGAACCUCCAUGGGGAGACUAUGGAAAAUACGUUGUGAGUUAGAAGUAUAUUUUAAUAAAUAUAUUAAAAUAUCUCUAAUGGUUUAAAAAAUUUACUAAUUAAUUUUUUAUUAAUUUUAACAAUUAAAUAUUAUAAAAAGUUUAAAACACUCUCGAUACGGAAAGACUAAUUAUUAACUUUUUUAUAAAAUUAAGAAAUUAAUUAAUAUUUUUUUUUUCAAAUUACAGAAAUUAGAUGAUAAAAUAUUUAAAAAUAAUUAAUUAGUAGAUUUUUUAAAAUGCUAUGAUGGUUUAAUGGAUUUUUUAAAAUUGAGAAGUAAUAGAAUUAAAUAAUAAAUUUUUAUGUAUUUUGCUAUUAUUAAGUAUACAUUUGAUAUGAUAACAAAAAUUAGAGUAGUUGUUAAUGGUAUAUAUUUUUAUGGAGUAAUAAUUAAAUUUAAAAAAAAAAGGUUUAAUAUUAAAAAUGAAUAUAACUGUUAAUCUAUUAAUUUUUUAUGUUUUAUAUAAAAAAAUUAAAAAUAAUUAAAAAUAAUUCAUUUAACUUAAUAAAAUAUCAUUUAGAUGUUAUAUUAUAGAUAAGUAAUGCAAUGAAUAUAUAUUUAUUAUGAAUCAUAUAUUAAUUUAGAGAAAAUUUUAAUAUAAAAUCAAUCAUAAAUAGAUAAAUCCGUAACAAACCGUAUUCUAAGUAGACACCUAUCAUGAUGUUCUUACAAGUGGACAAAUGGUGCGAGAGUAGAGUGCAUGUUAACGGGAAAGUAGCAAUCAAAAGAAAGCACUAGAAUUUAAGUUAUGGAACCCACAAUACGCGUCGUUUUAAAUACAAAUUUUGAAUUUUACAAAAUGGCAAAUAAUGAAAAUGUUGAAUUAAGCGUCAAAGGCCAAACCGAGACUACGUAUUAGAUAAAGUCAAACAAAGUGUGGCGACUGUUGGACAAUUCAACAUUCCUCGCUAUAUAAACGCCUAAUUCUCUACUCAUUCUUCAUCUUCAUCACCAUUUCUAUUCUCUGCCUCUUCACUUCACUCAGCUUCUCUCUCGCUGAUCAGUUUUGUUUUCUCCAGUUUUCCAUCCAUAAUUAAUAAUGGGUUUGAAGGGUUUUGUUGAAGGUGGUAUUGCCUCCAUUGUCGCCGGUGCCUCCACCCACCCUCUUGACCUCAUCAAGGUUCGCAUGCAACUUCAAGGUGAAUCCCACCUCCCCAAUCCAGCUUCCCUUCAAGCCCUCCGUCCUGCCAUCGCCUUCAACACGGUUGCUGCUGGUGCCGGUAAUAUUUCACUACCUGUAGAAAUUGCUCCUCCGCCAGCUCGCGUUGGACCCAUUUCUAUCGGUGUUCGUAUCAUUCAAUCUGAAGGUGCUGCAGCCCUUUUCUCUGGUGUAUCUGCCACUAUACUUCGCCAGACCUUGUACUCAACCACCCGUAUGGGUCUUUACGAUGUUCUCAAACACAAGUGGACAGAUCAAGACACCGGAAGCAUGCCUCUUCCACGCAAGAUUCUUGCCGGCCUUAUCUCCGGCGGUAUCGGAGCCUCCGUUGGGAACCCCGCUGACGUGGCUAUGGUCCGAAUGCAGGCUGAUGGACGUCUCCCAAUUGACCAACGUCGCAACUACAAGAGUGUGUUUGAUGCUCUGACUCAAAUGUCAAAGCAAGAAGGAAUUGCUAGCCUCUGGCGUGGCUCAAGUCUAACAGUGAACCGUGCAAUGAUCGUCACUGCAUCACAGCUCGCAUCCUAUGAUCAGAUCAAGGAGAUGAUAUUGGAGAAGGGAGUGAUGAGCGAUGGAAUUGGGA
rnacentral:lncRNA from 1 species